CUCUAGAUAACUUUAUAAGUUUAGGUCUUUUAAACCUAAUAAAGUAGCUAUAACCUACUUCUAGUGA
rnacentral:tRNA from 1 species